rnacentral:rRNA from 1 species
GACGAACGCUGGCGGCGUGCUUAACACAUGCAAGUCGAACGGAAAGGCCCUGCUUUUGUGGGGUGCUCGAUUGGCGAACGGGUGAGUAACACGUGAGUAACCUGCCCUUGACUUUGGGAUAACUUCAGGAAACUGGGGCUAAUACCGGAUAGGAUCUCCUGCUGCAUGGUGGGGGUUGGAAAGUUUCGGCUGUAGGGUAUGGACUCGCGGCUUAUCAGCUUGUUGGUGGGGUAGUUGCUUACCAAGGCUUUGACGGGUAGCCGGCCUGAGAGGGUGACCGGCGACAUGAGGACUGAGAUACGGACCAGACUCCUACGGGAGGCAGCAGGGGGGAAUAUUGCACAAUGAGCGGAAGCGUGAUGCAGAGACGUCGCGUGCGGGAUGACGGCCUUCUGGUUGUAAACAGCUUUCGCCUGUGACGAAGCGGGAGUGACGGUAAUGGAUAAAGAAGCACCGGCUAACUACGUG